rnacentral:rRNA from 1 species
GACGAACGCUGGCGGCGGGCUUAACACAUGCAAGUCGAACGGAAAGGCCCCUUUGGGGUUACUCGAGUGGCGAACGGGUGCGUAACACGUGAGUAACCUGCCCUUGACUUCUGUAUAACUUCAGUAAACUGGGGCUAAUACCGGAUAGGAAUCCUUGCUGCAUGGUGGGGGUUGGAAAGCUUCGGCGGUUUUGGAUGGACUCGCGGCUUAUCAGCGUGUUGGUUGGGUAGUGGCUUACCAAGGCUUUGACGGGUAGCCGGCCUGAGAGGGCGACCGGCCACAUUGGGACCGAGAUAAGGCCCAGACUCCUAAGGGAGGCAGCAGUGGGGAAUAUUGCACAAUGGGCGGAAGCCUGAUGCAGCAACGCCGCGUGCGGGAUGACCGCCUUGGGGUUGUAAAACGCUUUCAGCAGGGGAGAAGCUUGUGGUGACGGUACCUGCAGAAGAAGCACCGGCUAACUACGUG